AUGCUCUACAUAAUAUACAGUAGUAAUAACACAGAGAAUACGUAUGGAAUGCGUAUCUCUCUAUAUAUAUUUAUGUAUAUAUGCUAUGUGUAUAUCAACCUCGCAUAUUUUCUCCCUGUUGACCACGGCUCCCACAACGUGUCGCGAUGGAUGACUUGGCUUCCUAUUUCGUUGAAAAACGCAGCAAAGUGCGAUAAGUGGUAUCAAUUGCAAAAUCAUUUCAUUGCCCAAUCUUUGAACGCAAACGGCGCAUGGGAGAAGCUCUCUCGAGCCAUCCCCGUGCAUGCCACAUUUCUCAGUGUCAAAUAUAAAAACAAAACACACACCUAUUUUGUGUUGUUCAACGCACGCAAAAAAUCCCGCCACCUCUUCUCCUCCUGGGGGGCAUAUUCAUGUUUGUGA
rnacentral:rRNA from 1 species